GAUGAACGCUGGCGGCGUGCUUAACACAUGCAAGUCGAACGGUGAAGGCGGAGCUUGCUCUGCUGGAUCAGUGGCGAACGGGUGAGUAACACGUGAGCAAUCUGCCCCUGACUCUGGGAUAAGCGCUGGAAACGGCGUCUAAUACUGGAUACGAGCUGCGAAGGCAUCUUCAGCAGCUGGAAAGAAUUUCGGUCAGGGAUGAGCUCGCGGCCUAUCAGCUUGUUGGUGAGGUAAUGCUCACCAAGGCGUCGACGGGUAGCCGGCCUGAGAGGGUGACCGGCCACACUGGGACUGAGACACGGCCCAGACUCCUACGAGAGGCAGCAGUGGGGAAUAUUGCACAAUGGGCGAAAGCCUGAUGCAGCAACGCCGCGUGAGGGACGACGGCCUUCGGGUUGUAAACCUCUUUUAGCAGGGAAGAAGCGAAAGUGACGGUACCUGCAGAAAAAGCGCCGGCUAACUACGUG
rnacentral:rRNA from 1 species